rnacentral:misc_RNA from 1 species
GCAUUGAAAUCAAAACCUUCUUGAGACAUAGAGGUCAAGUAUGAUGAUUGACAAGAGAAACUAUAAGAAGGCAUCCCUAUUUUUAACUCAUCGCGAGGGAACAAAUGAAAGUUAUAUGGGUGCACGAUGAGCUUGGAACCCUUUAUGGAAAAGGGGCAAACGGCAAACUGAAGGACCUGAAACCGUUCGGCGGCGUAUUUG